GCGACAUUUUGUUCUAUUGCUUUUCUUUUUAAGGAAUAAGCAACAAUUUGUUUAUUAAUACUUACGCUUAUUGCUACGCGUUUAUGAUUUAAGUUAAGUUUCAAAGACACGAUUUAACAACAGUACAUCUCCAUUCAAUUCCGUUUUUUUGUUUUACUACACUUUCGAAACUUAAAACAAUUGAACAACAGAAAGAAUUAACGGCGGUUUACCGUUUUCACUAAGAGCCCGUUUAAAACGGUCCAAAUUGUAACCACAAACAUUAAACUAGACAGCUACACAGAUAUAGUGUUAUUGUGUGCAGCAAGACAAUCGGGCUGAUAAAUAUCUGACCGAUAGUGAAAACUCGUCUAUCGCUCGAAUUCAUACUUGCAUGCGGAAAUGUACGUAAUA